GCCUGAGUGGCGAAAUUGGUAGACGCAAGGGACUUAAAAUCCCUCGUUCAGUAAUGGACGUACCGGUUCGAUUCCGGUCUCCGGCA
rnacentral:tRNA from 1 species